rnacentral:rRNA from 1 species
AGGAUUCGUCCAAGUGAAAUAGAGGACAGUGGCGGACGGGUGAGUAACGCGUGAGGAACCUGCCUUUCAGAGGGGGACAACAGUUGGAAACGACUGCUAAUACCGCAUAAGCGCACAGCUUCGCAUGAAGCAGUGUGAAAAACUCCGGUGGUACAAGAUGGACCCGCGUCUGAUUAGAUAGUUGGUGGGGUAACGGCCUACCAAGUCGACGAUCAGUAGCCGGACUGAGAGGUUGAACGGCCACAUUGGGACUGAGAUACGGUCCAGACUCC